UAUAUUUAGAUGUAAGUAGCAUUUAAAUUUUUGAAAUUUAAAGGUAUAGUUUAAUUCUAUAAAAUAUAA
rnacentral:tRNA from 1 species